UGGGCGUAAGCGCGCGCAGGCGGCUCUUUAAGUCUGAUGUUAAAGCCCGCCGCUCAACCUCGGAUCGCCUUUGAAACUGGGUAGAUUUGAUGCCAGAAAAGAAAAUGGUAUUCCCCGUGGUACCGUGAAAUGGCUUAAAAUGUGGAAGAACCCCCAUGGGCAAAGGCAACUUUUUGGCCGGUACCUGCCCUUAAGGCCCGAAACCUGGGGGAGCAACCAGGAUUAAUUCCCCGGGUAUCCCCCCCCUAAACCAAUAAUGGUUAGUGGUUAGGGGGUUUCCACCCCUUAUGGCUCCACCUAACCCAUUAACCCCUCCCCCGGGGAAGUCCGGCCCCAAAACUGAACCUCAAAGGAUUUGCCGGGGGCCCCCCCAACCGGGGAACCUGGGGGUUUAUUUCAAACCACCCCAAAAAACCUUACCAGGCCUGGCCUUCCCCUGGCCGGCUGAAAAAUUAAGCUUUCCCUUCCGGGAACGGCGG
rnacentral:rRNA from 1 species